rnacentral:rRNA from 1 species
CCUACGGGAGGCAGCAGUGGGGAAUAUUGGGCAAUGGGCGCAAGCCUGACCCAGCAACGCCGCGUGAAGGAAGAAGGCUUUCGGGUUUUAAACUUCUUUUUAGAGGGAAGUGCAGAAGUCGGUAUCUCUUGAUUAAGCCACGGCUAACUACGUGCCAGCAGCCGCGGCAAUACGUAGGUGGCAAGUGUUAUCCGGAUUUACUGGGUGUUAAGGGCGUGUAGCCGGGCUGACAAGUCAGAUGUGAAAGUUCGGGGCUCAACCCCGGAACUGCAUUUGAAACUGGUGGUCUUGAGUAUAGGAGAGGCAGGCGGAAUUCGUAGUGUAGCGGUGAAAUGCGUAGAUAUUAGGAGGAACACCAGUAGCGAAGGCGGCCUACUGGACGACAACUGACGGUGAGGCGCGAAAGCGUGGGGAGCAAACAGGAUUAGAUACCCUAGUAGUC